GACGAACGCUGGCGGCGUGCUUAACACAUGCAAGUCGAACGGAAAGGCCCUGCUUUUGUGGGGUGCUCGAGUGGCGAAGGGGUGAGUAACACGUGAGUAACCUGCCCCUGACUUUGGGAUAACUUCAGGAAACUGGGGCUAAUACCGGAUAGGAGCUCCUGCUGCAUGGUGGGGGUUGGUAAGUUUCGGCGGUUGGGGAUGGAAUCGCGGCUUAUCAGCUUGUUGGUGGGGUAGUGGCUUACCAAGGUUUUGACGGGUAGCCGGCCUGAGAGGGUGACCGGCCACAUUGGGACUGAGAUACGGCCCAGACUCCAACGGGAGGCAGCAGUGGAGAAUAUUGCACAGUGGGCGGAAGCCUGAUGCAACAACGCCGCGUGCGGGAUGACGUCUUUCGAGUUGUAAACCGCUUUCGCCUGUGACGAGGCGUGAGUGACGGUAAUGGGUAAAGAAGCACCGGCUAACUACGUG
rnacentral:rRNA from 1 species